rnacentral:rRNA from 1 species
CCGGAUGUUAGCGGCGGACGGGUGAGUAACACGUGGGUAACCUGCCUGUAAGACUGGGAUAACUCCGGGAAACCGGAGCUAAUACCGGAUAGUUCCUUGAACCGCAUGGUUCAAGGAUGAAAGACGGUUUCGGCUGUCACUUACAGAUGGACCCGCGGCGCAUUAGCUAGUUGGUGAGGUAACGGCUCACCAAGGCGACGAUGCGUAGCCGACCUGAGAGGGUGAUCGGCCACACUGGGACUGAGACACGGCCCAGACUCCUACGGGAGGCAGCAGUAGGGAAUCUUCCGCAAUGGACGAAAGUCUGACGGAGCAACGCCGCGUGAGUGAUGAAGGUUUUCGGAUCGUAAAGCUCUGUUGUUAGGGAAGAACAAGUGCAAGAGUAACUGCUUGCACCUUGACGGUACCUAACCAGAAAGCCACGGCUAACUACGUGCCAGCAGCCGCGGUAAUACGUAGGUGGCAAGCGUUGUCCGGAAUUAUUGGGCGUAAAGGGCUCGCAGGCGGUUUCUUAAGUCUGAUGUGAAAGCCCCCGGCUCAACCGGGGAGGGUCAUUGGAAACUGGGAAACUUGAGUGCAGAAGAGGAGAGUGGAAUUCC